rnacentral:rRNA from 1 species
AUACGUAGGUGGCAAGCGUUGUCCGGAUUUACUGGGCGUAAAGGGAGCGUAGGUGGAUAUUUAAGUGGGAUGUGAAAUCCCCGGGCUUAACCUGGGGGCUGCAUUCCAAACUGGAUAUCUAGAGUGCAGGUGAGGAGAGUGGAAUUCCUAGUGUAGCGGUGAAAUGCGUAGAGAUUAGGAAGAACACCAGUGGCGAAGGCGACUCUCUGGACUGUAACUGACACUGAGGCUCGAAAGCGUGGGGAGCAAACAGGAUUAGAUACCCUGGUAGUCCACGCCGUAAACGAUGGGUACUAGGUGUAGGGGUUUCGAUACCUCUGUGCCGCCGUUAACACAAUAGGUACCCCGCCUGGGGAGUACGGUCGCAAGAUUAAA